rnacentral:lncRNA from 1 species
CAGAGAAUAAAAAACUAAAAGAUCCAUAAAAUCAAAAUAUUAGAGUAAAACAUUUAUCAUUUUCGUCAAACACAACUUCAUCAUCUCCAUAUGUCAACUACUAAUGAUUAGCAAAUAGAAUUUGCUUGAAUUAAGAAUUAAAUGGUAUUUUAGGAAUAAUGGCGGAUGGAAAGAUAGGAUUGUGCUUUUUCAAAUUUACAUGGCGCGUGGGAAGUUAAGGUGAGUGGAGAAAUAUGACAAGGUGGUGGAAAUAGCAUCACUGACCACUAAUAAUUGAAGGAAAAUUUAAGAAUAAUGGUGGGUGAAAAGAUAAGGAUUGUGUCCUACUGUUUGGCCUUUUAGGAAAUGAGUAAAACUAGAUUAUUCGGGUACUUUUAUUUCAUGAAAGAAUUAGGAAAGGACUUAUAUUGUUUCCAGCUCCGAUUACCUAAUAUUUAAUGCACACAGA